UUGAACGCUGGCGGCAUGCUUUACACAUGCAAGUCGAACGGCAGCACGGGGGGGUAACCCUCUGGUGGCGAGUGGCGAACGGGUGAGUAAUGCAUCGGAACGCGUCCUGUAAUGGGGGAUAACCUGGCGAAAGUCAGGCUAAUACCGCAUACGUCCUGAGGGAGAAAGCGGGGGAUUGGCAACGACCUCGUGUUAUAGGAGCGGCCGAUGUCGGAUUAGCUAGUUGGUGGGGUAAAGGCCUACCAAGGCGACGAUCCGUAGCGGGUCUGAGAGGACGGCCCGCCACACUGGGACUGAGACACGGCCCAGACGCCUACGGGAGGCAGCAGUGGGGAAUGUUGGACAAUGGGGGCAACCCUGAUCCAGCCAUGCCGCGUGAGUGAAGAAGGCCUUCGGGUUGUAAAGCUCUUUCGGUGGGGAAGAAAUUGCACGGGAUAAUACCCUGGGUGGAUGACGGUACCGGAAGAAGAAGCACCGGCUAACUACGUGC
rnacentral:rRNA from 1 species